GCGAAAGUGGCGAAAUUGGCAGACGCACUACCUUGAGGUGGUAGCGGGGUAACUCUCGUGGGGGUUCGAGUCCCCCCUUUCGCA
rfam:Chlamydiae bacterium RIFCSPHIGHO2_12_FTLL_49_9 rifcsphigho2_12_scaffold_42018, whole genome shotgun sequence.